GGAUUAGAUACCCUGGUAGUCCACGCCCUAAACGAUGUGCACUAGAUCGAGGAGGCUCUGACGUCAUCUCGGUCGAAGCAAAAGUAUUAAGUGCACCGCCUGGGGAGUACGGUCGCAAGGCUAAAACUCAAAGGAAUUGACGGGGACUCACACAAGCGGUGGAGCAUGUGGCUUAAUUCGAAGCAACGCGAAGAACCUUAUCCUGGGUUUGACAUGCAUGGAUUAACUUCUGGAAACAGAAGCCACGCCUUUUAGGUGGAACAUGCACAGGUGCUGCAUGGCUGUCGUCAGCUCGUGCCG
rnacentral:rRNA from 1 species